UGAACAUACAUCACUACCUUGACUCUCUGGAUCAAGACCCUGCUUUUGAACAUGACUGGAAGGAGGGGGAUAUUUUUAUUGAUGAGGUGUGUGUGCUCAUGGAGUCAUGGCAGCUGCAAAAGCCUAGGCUCCUGCAAGAAGAAGAAUGAUAAUUAGCAGGGGAAGUCUUUGGUACAGCAACAAGACAGCAGAUCUACAUCGUCCUCCAUCAAGUUCUGUCCAUUAUGAAGAACCUCAAGACCCUCUUGUUCUCUCAGGCUUUUAAUUAGAAUUAAUUUGAAUAAUUUUAAAAAGUUGUUUUAAGAAUGUUAUUCUAUUGUUUUUAUUGUCAUGUAUUUUAAUUUGUGACUUCUAAAUAUUUUAAAUUUUGUACACUGCCUAGAGACAUACAUAUCAGGCGGUAUAAAAAUAUGAUAAAUAAA